CUCCGCCUCUGUCAAACAGUGGAUGCUGAGCGCCACGGACCUAUGGCGUGCAUCAGUCGAGAAUUUCUUUGUUGGGAAACGGUUGCGCUGAAUCCUCUUUUGUUUUGAGACUGCCUCUGCAUAGGGCCCGGGAUCUUGUGCGGCCCCCUGGGGACGUCCCCUGUUUGCUGGUGCUCUUGCUGAGGCAUGGGAAAAAUAAAGGAGCUGGAAAAAACACCUGCUAGUGACAU